rnacentral:rRNA from 1 species
GAUUGCGAUCAUACCAGCACUAAUGCACCGGAUCCCAUCAGAACUCCGCAGUUAAGCGUGCUUGGGCGAGAGUAGUACUAGGAUGGGUGACCCCCUGGGAAGUCCUCGUGUUUCAACCC